ACGAACGCUGGCGGCGUGCUUAACACAUGCAAGUCGAACGAUGAAGCACCAGCUUGCUGGUGUGGAUUAGUGGCGAACGGGUGAGUAACACGUGAGUAACCUGCCCCUCACUCUGGGAUAAGCCUGGGAAACUGGGUCUAAUACUGGAUACGACCGAUCUCCGCAUGGAAUGUUGGUGGAAAGUUUUUGUGGUGGGGGAUGGACUCGCGGCCUAUCAGCUUGUUGGUGGGGUAAUGGCCUACCAAGGCGACGACGGGUAGCCGGCCUGAGAGGGCGACCGGCCACACUGGGACUGAGACACGGCCCAGACUCCUACGGGAGGCAGCAGUGGGGAAUAUUACACAAUGGGCGAAAGCCUGAUGCAGCGACGCCGCGUGAGGGAUGACGGCCUUCGGGUUGUAAACCUCUUUCACCAGGGACGAAGCUAACGUGACGGUACCUGGAGAAGAAGCACCGGCUAACUACGUG
rnacentral:rRNA from 1 species